GUGGGAGCAGGAAUUGCUGCUGCACAGGGAAGGUUGUUGUGGCCUUGCCUGUCAGAGUGUGGGGGUUUGCUGGCAAUGAUUCCUGUUCCAGGCCAAAAAAAGCGCUCACGGAAGGAAGAAGCUGCACCUGACCAUCCCCAGGGGUGCACACGUGCCAGGGCCAGCACUGGUGUGUGAAGGACCAUCCCCAGUGUCUGAAGAGGGCACAGGGACACUCUCACCGUUAAUAAAGGGUUCUCUGGAAAGCUCUCCAACACAGCUGGAGUGCCAAAAUGACUUCAAGUGCUCACAAACUCCACUUAUGGGGCUGCAACUCAGCUGAGAGCAAGAGCUCCUGCUUUCUCCACAGAACGUGGGAGUUGUUCGAUCCCACAGCUUUCAAUGACUUCAGAGUAAAAGGAAAGGUAUUUCAAAGGAAGUCAAACACUUUCACCAGUGACAAACUUCCCCCAAGGUCUGAUUGAUGGUUGGAGUGAGCUCUGUAGAGCAGAGCUCCUUGAGGUGUGUGCUGGCUGAGGGGAGAGGGGAGCAGCCGAGCUUGGGUCACAAAUCUGUCCUUGCUGCUGCCUUCUGUUGAACUUCAGCGUGUGCUGUUGUGUAAUGGACAGAGAAAAACACAUCUGAAAGCAGCAAACGUGAAAGGGAAGGAUGCACUGAAAUAACACCAGAUGGACACUGUGCAGGAGGAGGAGACCCCUGAGCCAGAGACUGAGUCACUCGAGGGUCAAACUGAGCAACCGCCAGGAGUUCAACACUCUGCAUUGCUGUUCUUCAGUGACAGAGUUUCCUUGGCAUCAGCAGCUGCUCUGUGCUGAAAUCCUCCUCUGUGUGUGAGGAAAGCCAGGAGUUAGUGCAGCCCCAGUGUUGCACAGCUCUGUGCCCAGCAGGGAGCUGGGCACACUCAGCUCAUUCCCUGGGCUGGGAAAACACCUCUUCUUGUUUUCCCCUCCUUUUUUACCCCCUGACUGCAGUGCAGGCAGCAGCAGAGUGUUCCAACAGCACCAGGCUUUAAGGGAACUGGUGGAGCCAGAUCCAGGUAAAAUGAGUUUAAUACAUUGAAUUUAUUACUUUUUUUUGUGUUAUCCAAAGUAGGACUGCACACAAGCUCCACAUCUGCUGUGAAAGAAAACUUUGAGUUUAUGAGGCAAGCAAAACCUCAGGCUGGGAUAUCAUUGUUGGUAAAUCCAGUGGCACUACAGGGAUCAGAUAAAGAUCCCAGUGAUGCCCCCUGACAUUUGAGAGGGGCAGGAAACAUCCUGUGUGUGUGGCAGGAAGGGAAAUGAGGGAGAGCAGGGCCGUGUGGGGAUCAGCAGAGAUCAAUUGCAGUGUACAGGAAAUGCUUUUCCCAACAAUCCCAGAAACAUCUCCUCCAAUUCAUAUUUAGAGCUCGAGGGAUCCCCAGGAAGAGCUGUGACAUCUUAUUUCCCACAGUGUGCUGGGCCAAGAAAGGAGCAGGAAAAAUACCUUCCCAUUCACUUAAUUAUGGCCCAAGGAAUAAAUUAUUCAAAUUAAGCCACCAUUUCUAUCCUGGUGUGGCCACUCUGCAUCCAGAAUAGCUCCAGGACUGACCCAGGGGUGAUGUGAGCCCCCUUUUUCCUCUCUGUGGGGCCAGUUCCUGUAUUUGUCCACAUUCCUGCCUCAAGCUCCACGUUCCUCAUCCCUCUCUGAACACUGGAGUGACUCUUGGGACAAUGGUAAUGAAGAGAGAGUUGGAUUCCCAAAGGCUGUGCUUCCUCCUGAAUCCCUCCCUGGCAGGGUGGUGCUGUACGGAAAAAUUCAUGGGUUCUUGCUCUGAUGAAGAAUUGGUGGCCUGGCACUGCCAGUCUGGGUUGCUCAGACUUUUCCUCAGUGCAGUCUGGCAAUUCCUGUUCCAAAGCUGGUUCUCUGCAGGCCCAGAGGUGCCCAGAGCCCUGA